rnacentral:rRNA from 1 species
UACGAAGGGGUGCUAGCGUUGUUCGGAAUCACUGGGCGUAAAGGGCGCGUAGGCGGCUCAUGAAGGCUGUGGUGAAAGUCCGGGGCUCAACCUCGGAUCGGCCGUGGCGACUCGUGGGCUGGAGCACUGUAGAGGCGGGUGGAAUUCCGGGUGUAGCGGUGGAAUGCGUAGAGAUCCGGAAGAACACCAGUGGCGAAGGCGGCCCGCUGGGCAGUGGCUGACGCUGAGGCGCGACAGCGUGGGGAGCAAACAGG